GCGGGAGUAGUUCAGUGGUAGAAUGUCUCGUUGCCAACGAGAAGAUCGCGGGUUCGAUCCCCGUCUCCCGCU
rnacentral:tRNA from 1 species